AGCGAACGCUGGCGGCAGGCCUAACACAUGCAAGUCGAACGAACCUUUCGGGGUUAGUGGCGGACGGGUGAGUAACACGUGGGAACGUGCCUUUAGGUUCGGAAUAACUCAGGGAAACUUGUGCUAAUACCGAAUGUGCCCUUCGGGGGAAAGAUUAAUCGCCUUUAGAGCGGCCCGCGUCUGAUUAGCUAGUUGGUUGAGGUAAUGGCUCACCAAGGCGACGAUCAGUAGCUGGUCUGAGAGGAUGAUCAGCCACAUUGGGACUGAGACACGGCCCAAUCUCCUACGGGAGGCAGCAGUGGGGAAUCUUGCGCAAUGGGCGAAAGCCUGACGCAGCCAUGCCGCGUGAAUGAUGAAGGUCUUAGGAUUGUAAAAUUCUUUCACCGGGGACGAUAAUGACGGUACCCGGAGAAGAAGCCCCGGCUAACUUCGUG
rnacentral:rRNA from 1 species